GCUUCGCGAUUUCGUGUGGUGACGCUCUUGUCCAGUGUGGCCCUGCUUGAAGUUACUGUGGACUUCAGUUGAUGCUUCAUCUCCACUAGACUCAUCCCCCGUCAUCCUCCUGCCUUGGACGUGAGACGUGGACCGCUGGCCGUGCCCAUUCUUCGAUGCAAACACGUGGACUCCAGACGACAGCAUGUGGUGCUGUGAUCUCUUGGAACUUUGCCUGGGACUGCGGCGGGAGCACUGGCCCACUGCUUACCUUUCAGCGGCAGGGGUCCCCGCCACAGCUACCGGAUUUGGGGAGGAUACCGAGCUAUGACAUUCGUCAUACAUUUUUGAUGCGACGCACAUCGCAUAUUUCAUCGCUCAAUAAACUAUCCUUCUACCAA